CAGCAGCCGCGGGAAUACGAAGGGGACUAGCGUUGUUCGGAAUUACUGGGCGUAAAGGGCGCGUAGGCGGCCAUUCAAGUUAGAUGUGAAGCCCUGGGCUCAACCUAGGAAUUGCAUUUGAUACUGUUUGGCUUGAGUUCGGGAGAGGUGAGUGGAAUUCCCAGUGUAGAGGUGAAAUUCGUAGAUAUUGGGAAGAACACCAGUGGCGAAGGCGGCUCACUGGACCGACACUGACGCUGAGGCGCGAAAGCGUGGGGAGCAAACAGGAUUAGAUACCCCCGUAGUCCCUGUCUCUUAUACA
rnacentral:rRNA from 1 species